GACAGAGGUGCCGAGCGUUAGGCGGAAUCACUGGGCUUAAAGCGUGUGUAGGCGGACUUGUAAGUACCUUGUGAAAUCCCACGGCUCAACCGUGGAACUGCUGGGUAUACUGCGAGUCUUGAGCCAUCUAGGGGCUACCGGAACAAAUGGUGGAGCGGUGAAAUGCGUAGAUAUCAUUUGGAACGCCAAAGGUGAAAACAGGUAGCUGGGGAUGUUCUGACGCUGAGACACGAAAGCCAGGGGAGCGAACGGG
rnacentral:rRNA from 1 species